rnacentral:misc_RNA from 1 species
GAUGAAGAACGUAGCGAAAUGCGAUAAGUAAUGUGAAUUGCAGAAUUCAGUGAAUCAUCGAAUCUUUGAACGCACAUUGCGCCCGCCAGUAUUCUGGCGGGCAUGCCUGUCCGAGCGUCAUUUCAACCCUCGAACCCCUCCGGGGGGUCGGCGUUGGGGAUCGGCCCUUUACCGGCCGGCCCCGAAAUACAGUGGCGGUCUCGCCGCAGCCUCUCCUGCGCAGUAGUUUGCACACUCGCACCGGGAGCGCGGCGCAGUCCAAUGCCGUAAAACACCCAACUUUCUGAAAUGUUGACCUCGGAUCAGGUAGGGAUACCCGCUGAACUUAAGCAUAUCAAUAAGCGGAGGA